UACGGGAGGCAGCAGUGGGGAAUCUUGCACAAUGGGCGAAAGCCUGAUGCAGCGACGCCGCGUGAGUGAAGAAGUAUUUCGGUAUGUAAAGCUCUAUCAGCAGGGAAGAAAAUGACAGUACCUGACUAAGAAGCCCCGGCUAACUACGUGCCAGCAGCCGCGGUAAU
rnacentral:rRNA from 1 species